rnacentral:rRNA from 1 species
GACGAACGCUGGUGGCGUGCUUAACACAUGCAAGUCGAACGGAAAGGCCUCUUUCGGGGGGUACUCGAGUGGCGAACGGGUGAGUAACACGUGAGUAACCUGCCCUUGACUUUGGGAUAACUUCAGGAAACUGGGGCUAAUACCGGAUAGGAGCUCCUGCUGCAUGGUGGGGGUUGGAAAGUUUCGGCGGUUGGGGAUGGACUCGCGGCUUAUCAGCUUGUUGGUGGGGUAGUGGCUUACCAAGGCUUUGACGGGUAGCCGGCCUGAGAGGGUGACCGGACACAUUGGGACUGAGAUACGGCCCAGACUCCUACGGGAGGCAGCAGUGGGGAAUAUUGCACAAUGGGUGGAAGCCUGAUGCAGCAACGCCGUGUGCGGGAUGACGGCCUUCGGGUUGUAAACCGCUUUCGCUCAUGACGAAGCUUUGUGUGACGGUAGUGGGUAAAGAAGCACCGGCUAACUACGUG